rnacentral:tRNA from 1 species
UUAGGGAUGCCAGAUAAUAUAUGGGUGUGAUUUAGGGUCAUAAUAUGAUAGUGUGUAUCUCCCUGGC